GUGCUCACUUUGGCAACACAUAUACCAACAUUGGAAUGAUACAGAGAAGAUUAGCAUGGCCCCUGUGUAAGGAUGACAUGCAAAUUCGUGAAGUAUUCCAUAUUUUU
ensembl:snRNA U6 U6 spliceosomal RNA